GCGCAAGCCCUCACACUUCCCGGCCCGCGCGCCUGCGCUGGAAUCCUCCCAGGGCACCUCGACCCUGGCGCUUGCGCAGUGUGCUGUUUUGCGUUGCUUUAAGAGGAAAAUGCCAAAUACAGAAGUUGGGAGUUUGGGAAGGCGAGUUGGGGUGAUUGGAGUGUCUUGUAAGAACGCUUCUGCGCUCAGAAGGGCCUUUUAGUGAAGAAAAUCUUUUCCUUUGUUGGUUUGGUUGUCUUUCUGCUCCUAGGUUCCAGUCUAUUAUUUCAUUCUACCUUUUUUCCAAGGAGAAUUUAAACUAAUCGAUAAACAUCCCCUAUACGAAUAUAAAGGCGGGUGAAGCCUUUUAUUUUACCCUUACCCUCAACCGGAGCUAAUCUGAGGAUGCCAGGUAUGUUCGCAGCUAUGACUGAACCUACUGGCAUUAAAUAUCAGCAACACCAGUUCGGUCUCCUAGGGAAGUGAUGGCUGCACUUUUCUGCGCUCUCCCUGAAAGAUAAACUUACAGAGAAGGGCUUCCAUUCAGAGAAAAUUCAGCAGUGCAUGUGACCAGAGUCCCUACUUCAUACAAACGAAGUUUGGCUUUCCUAGGGCAGUCUUCAUAACAACCUCUUAAAAAGGAGGAAAACUUGAAACAAGGCACUCUUGAAAUUUUGUUGGACUUUGCUAGACCUGUGAGUUUGGCGUGAAUGUUGAGAACUCAGGAAGAAUUCCACAAUAAGCCACAUUUCUUUAUGUCAUUGAAAUAUCUAUUUUAGAUUAGGAAAUGCCUGUGCUAGAAUAUGUAUGUGCGUUAUUUUCUUAGGGCUGCCACAAUAAAAUAUCAAUUGGAUGGCUUAAAACAACAAAUUUAUUGUCUCACAGUUACAGAGCCCAGAAGUUAGAAAUUAGUGUGGCAGCAGGAUUAGUUCUCCCUUGAUGUCUCAAAGGAGAAUGUUUUCCAUACAUUUUUAGCUUCUGGGGGUUGCUGACAAUCCUUGGUAUUUCUUGGUUUAUAGAUACAUCACUCUAAUGUCCAUCUCCAUCUCUGCCAACACCAUGGUGUUCUUCCUGGUGUGUCUGUGUCCAAAUUUCCCUCUUAUAAGGACACCGUUCAUUGGGUUAAGGCCCACCCUGAUCCAUUAUGACCUAUUUUUAACUGGAUUACAUCUGCAAAGACCCUCUUUCCAGAUAAGGUCACAUUUUCAGAUACUGGAAUUUAGGAUUUAACCAUAUCUCUUUAGGGGAUCCAGUUCAACCCAACAUAGUAUGUUAUAGAAACAAGUAUAAAAAUGACAAGAUACUCAAACAUAAUUUCAAUAUUGGGAGAGGUGGGGAUACUAACAAAACAUACUCUAUUCUUAUUUUAUUAUUCUCCUUUGCCCUUUUAGGACUUUUGUUGUCUUUUAACCUUAAGGACUUGAUGUCUCAGUAUAUCAUUAAAGGGGAAGUUAUGGGAUCUGGGAUCUUUAAGAUAUGUACUUGACACUGCAACAAAUAAACAGUAAAAUUUGAGUGGCGUAGCAUAAUUGAAGUAUAUUUUAUCUUUUAACAGUCCAAAUGAGUGUUCCUAAUGACUGAUGAAACUGAUUUUCCAGGAACAGUGAGAGAUGGAGGCACAGAGAGCCUCUUAAAACGCUUGUCGGGGAGGUGCCACAUACCACUUCGGCACCAACAUUUGCAAGAACUACACACCUAGAUGCAAGGAGACUGGGAAACAAUAGCUGUCUAAGUUCCCAGGAAUUCAGCUGACAUUCAAAUAGGCAUAAGCCUGAAAAAAUCACAUGUAAUGUGGUCCUUGACCAGUAUGUGGGGAUGUGUCCAUGCCUUUGAAAUUACAGUGGUGCUAAGGACCUCUUUCCAAGUAUUGGGGAGCUUAAAGUUCACAUAGAAGACAUACCCAGAUCAUGAAACUACAGGGUGAACUAUCCACAAAUGUGAAUAAAUAAUAGGUAUGUUCAGUCUUCUUCUGUUCAAACUGAAUAAAAAAUUUUUUUCCAGUGUUAUUAAAAUAGAAUUGGCAUAUAACAUUGUGUAAGUUUAAGGUGUACAAUGUGAUGAUUUGAUAUACAUGUGUAUUGUGAAAUGAUUACCACAAUAAGAUUAAUUAACACCUCUGUUACCUCAAAACAUCUUGCCAACUUGAAUGUAUUCAGAUAUGUUGUUAUACUAAUAGUCAUCAUAUGUGUUUUGACCACCUAGAAUUAGCUUCUCCAGGUUCUUCAACCCUUCUGGCUCCAUAGAAUAGCAAAAUGUUUUGUGGGGUAUAAAGGAGAGCCUUGAGAUACUGCUUAGCAUAUCCAUCCUGUCUACUACACUUGCCUGUUUAUAUUCUUUAUGUUAAUAUGCAAUUUGUUUGAUUAUACCAAUAAA